AACGAACGCUGGCGGCAUGCCUAACACAUGCAAGUCGAACGAGAUCUUCGGGUCUAGUGGCGCACGGGUGCGUAACGCGUGGGAAUCUGCCCUUUGGUUCGGAAUAACAGUUGGAAACGACUGCUAAUACCGGAUGAUGACGAAAGUCCAAAGAUUUAUCGCCAGAGGAUGAGCCCGCGUAGAAUUAGCUAGUUGGUGUGGUAAAGGCGCACCAAGGCGACGAUCCUUAGCUGGUCUGAGAGGAUGAUCAGCCACACUGGGACUGAGACACGGCCCAGACUCCUACGGGAGGCAGCAGUGGGGAAUAUUGGACAAUGGGCGAAAGCCUGAUCCAGCAAUGCCGCGUGAGUGAUGAAGGCCUUAGGGUUGUAAAGCUCUUUUACCCGGGAUGAUAAUGACAGUACCGGGAGAAUAAGCCCCGGCUAACUCCGUGCCAGCAGCCGCAGUAA
rnacentral:rRNA from 1 species